rnacentral:lncRNA from 1 species
GUAUGUCCACCCUAAGUGCUAUGGUGCCGAAUGGUCACUUGUAUUGCUAUGUGUCACAGCCCCCCACAGUUGUAAGGGUCACAGCCCCCCACAGCAGUGAAGGUCACAGUACCACACAGUUGUAAGGGUCACAGUCCCCCACAGCAGUGAAGGUCACAGUACCACACAGUUGUAAGGGUCACAGCCCCCCACAGCAGUGAAGGCCGCAGCCCCUCACAGCACCCCACCUUCUCAUACACAUCCUUUGCUCUCCUCAUUUGGGAAAGGCCCAAGUUGGAACCAGCUGGUUAGAACUCAGAUUUGCCUUAACUUCUUACUCUGACCAGAAGCAAAGGGCCUGAUGUUCCCUCUGAACAUGUUCCCAUGGCAACUUAGAAAACCACACUUAGCCACAAAAUUCACAAAUCCCUGGAGAUCCUGAAA